rnacentral:rRNA from 1 species
GACGAACGCUGGCGGCGUGCUUAACACAUGCAAGUCGAACGGAAAGGCCCUGCUUUUGUGGGGUGCUCGAGUGGCGAACGGGUGAGUAACACGUGAGUAACCUGCCCUUGACUUUGGGAUAACUUCAGGAAACUGGGGCUAAUACCGGAUAGGAGCUCCUGCUGCAUGGUGGGGGUUGGAAAGUUUCGGCGGUUGGGGAUGGACUCGCGGCUUAUCAGCUUGUUGGUGGGGUAGUGGCUUACCAAGGCUUUGACGGGUAGCCGGCCUGAGAGGGUGACCGGCCAAAUGGGGACUGAGAUACGGCCCAGACUCCUACGGGAGGCAGCAGUGGGAAAUAUUGCACAAUGGGCGGAAGCCUGAUGCAGCAACGCCGCGUGCGGGAUGACGGCCUUCGGGUGGUAAACCGCUUUCGCCUGUGACGAAGCGUGAGUGACGGUAAUGGGUAAAGAAGCACCGGCUAACUACGU